rnacentral:rRNA from 1 species
AACGAACGCUGGCGGCAGGCUUAACACAUGCAAGUCGAACGCCCCGCAAGGGGAGUGGCAGACGGGUGAGUAACGCGUGGGAAUAUACCUAGUUCUACGGAAGAACACAGGGAAACUUGUGCUAAUACCGCAUACGCCCUACGGGGGAAAAUUUUAUCGGACUUAGAUGAGCCCGCGUAAGAUUAGCUAGUUGGUGGGGUAAUGGCCUACCAAGGCGACGAGCUUUAGCUGGUGUGAGAGGAUGAUCAGCCACACUGGGACUGAGACACGGCCCAGACUCCUACGGGAGGCAGCAGUGGGGAAUAUUGGACAAUGGGCGCAAGCCUGAUCCAGCCAUGCCGCGUGAGUGAUGAAGGCCUUAGGGUUGUAAAGCUCUCUCAGUGGGGAAGAUAAUGACGGUACCCGCAGAAGAAGCCCCGGCUAACUUCGUGCCAGCAGCCGCGGUAA